rfam:Nippostrongylus brasiliensis genome assembly, scaffold: NBR_scaffold0003539
ACCUCGGUAGCACAGUGGUUAGCGCAGUCUGCCGGAACAGAAAGACGCGGGUUCAAUUCCCGUCCGAUGUC